rnacentral:rRNA from 1 species
CAUGGGAACUGCGGAGGGAUCAUUACACAAAUAUGAAGGCGGGCUGGAAUCUCUCGGGGUUACAGCCUUGCUGAAUUAUUCACCCUUGUCUUUUGCGUACUUCUUGUUUCCUUGGUGGGUUCGCCCACCACUAGGACAAACAUAAACCUUUUGUAAUUGCAAUCAGCGUCAGUAACAAAUUAAUAAUUACAACUUUCAACAACGGAUCUCUUGGUUCUGGCAUCGAUGAAGAACGCAGCGAAAUGCGAUAAGUAGUGUGAAUUGCAGAAUUCAGUGAAUCAUCGAAUCUUUGAACGCACAUUGCGCCCUUUGGUAUUCCAAAGGGCAUGCCUGUUCGAGCGUCAUUUGUACCCUCAAGCUUUGCUUGGUGUUGGGCGUCUUGUCUCUAGCUUUGCUGGAGACUCGCCUUAAAGUAAUUGGCAGCCGGCCUACUGGUUUCGGAGCGCAGCACAAGUCGCACUCUCUAUCAGCAAAGGUCUAGCAUCCAUUAAGCCUUUUUUCAACUUUUGACCUCGGAACAAGGAGGGAUACCCGCUGAACUUAAGCAUAUCAAUAAGCCGGAGGAAAGAA